GAUGAACGCUGGCGGCGUGCCUAAUACAUGCAAGUCGAGCGAACAGAUGAGGAGCUUGCUCCUCUGACGUUAGCGGCGGACGGGUGAGUACACGUGGAUAACCUACCUAUAAGACUGGGAUAACUUCGGGAAGCCGGAGCUAAUACCGGAUAAUAUAUUGAACCGCAUGGUUCAAUAGUGAAAGACGGUUUUGCUGUCACUUAUAGAUGGAUCCGAGCCGCAUUAGCUAGUUGGUAAGGUAACGGCUUACCAAGGCAACGAUGCGUAGCCGACCUGAGAGGGUGAUCGGCCACACUGGAACUGAGACACGGUCCAGACUCCUACGGGAGGCAGCAGUAGGGAAUCUUCCGCAAAGGGCGAAAGCCUGACGGAGCAACGCCGCGUGAGUGAUGAAGGUCUUCGGAUCGUAAAACUCUGUUAUUAGGGAAGAACAAAUGUGUAAGUAACUAUGCACGUCUUGACGGUACCUAAUCAGAAAGCCACGGCUAACUACGUG
rnacentral:rRNA from 1 species